CAAAAGCAAUGGCACAGGUCUUCAGGCCACCCUGCCAAGGUUUCCCGAGUAUCUCCAGGAGAGCCACGAUACAUGAGCUCUUGCAAGUAAAGAAAAAACAUCUGUCUUCUAUUUCUCUUCCUCAUAUCAGAUGCUUUGACCACACUGAGAGCCCCUGGAGGCAGGUGUGUACGUUUCUGGAAGACCUGUUGAACAUCCUUUGUGGCGUCAAGGACCAACAAAUCAAGUUGGAAGGCACCUCAGGAGCACACACAGACGUGAGCUGCUGCUGCUGCUGCUUCAUUACUGCUGGGAAGCUGGACUGAAAAAUCUGGGAGUCACACAGAGGUCUGCAUGAACUGACUUAGCCUAUCUAUUUCCUUCUGGAUCUAUUUUAUUUACAUAUAUGAAAGUGAAUGGAUCAUCUCAAUAGAAAAAAAUAGGAGAGCUGAUGAUGUUUGGUCUUUGUGUCAGUUGCCAGCUUUCAUUGUGCUCAUUACAUGGAGACAUACAGGUAUGGCAUGGAAAAGAUCUCCAAAAUCAUCUUGUCCGUUCCAUGGGUAACCUUGAGAUCCACAUCAUCUAAGUCUGGGAACUCC
rnacentral:lncRNA from 1 species